UACAGGAGAAGGGAACAUCUGUGGUCAUAUGCCGGAGAGAGACAGAAGGGGAAGGAAUUACAGGAGAAGGGAACAUCUGUGGUCAUAUGCCGGAGAGAGACAGAAGGGGAAGGAAUUAUAGGAGAAGGGAACAUCUGUGGUCAUAUGCCGGAGAGAGACAGAAGGGGAAGGAAUUAUAGGAGAAGGGAACAUCUGUGGUCAUAUUGUAGUGCCGGGACGUAGUAUUAAGUAUGGGUAAGUAAUGUUAAGUUAAUGUAAGUAACAUUUAAGUUAAUGUAAGAAUUAUUAGUAACAUUGAAUUAUUAUUGCGUGAUGCUCACACCCCAGAGACAGACGGACAGACAGACAGACAGACAUACAUGUUGACGCCUGCAGAAAGUAGGUGAUCGGCUCCAUACGAGAUAAUGGGCAUAAUUUUAAUACAAGAUAGUAGCUUCUAGUUAGAAUUUUUCACCUUGCUAUUCAGGGGAACCAUUAUACCAAUAUCAUGCGACGAGUAAAGUACCGUAGACGGUUGUUGCAAGGUUGAACAAAUCAGGGUUCGAAUUAAAUCUGGGGAGGGAUGUGAACCGCGGGCAGCGGCUGCGUAGGGAGCCCCACCCAGCAAACACCAACAGACACGCCUUGGCUCUUCCCCCGGACAGGUGCGUCUCUCUGAGGUGAAGUAAUUCCUGUUCAUAUUAUAGAUAUAUUUUCUCAUUAUUGUAUUUGUGCGGUGCAAACACUAACAGACACGCCUUGGCUCUUCCCCCGGACAGGGAAGUGAGUGGAGAUAAAGGGUCUGUCACGUGCGUGUCUCGGGUGUGUUCGGUAUGAUACACGUAUUGACUACAUAGGGUGUUUAGUCCACGGAGUAGCAGGGCUGUGCAGUAUUUCUCUUUAACGAGGAUGUAACCACCUGGUUCGUCCCCUUUGUCUGCCGGUUAGGCUAUAUUUUACUGAGGAUAUAGGAGAAUGUAAGAAGAUUGUUUAUGCCCAUGUGAGCACCAGUGAACUGUUUUUCGUGCCACGUUUGUGGUAGGCGGUGGCCGAAUUGGUAGAGUACUGGGCCCACAUUCACCGCGUGAUGGACGACGCGGGUUCGAAUCCCCACGCUACCACUCGGAUUUUUCAGCCACCGCCGAGUGGCUUAAAA